UGGGGAAUUUUGGACAAUGGGCGAAAGCCUGAUCCAGCAAUGCCGCGUGUGUGAAGAAGGCCUUCGGGUUGUAAAGCACUUUUGUCCGGAAAGAAAUCCUUGGCUCUAAUACAGUCGGGGGAUGACGGUACCGGAAGAAUAAGCACCGGCUAACUACGUGCCAGCAGCCGCGGUAAUACGUAGGGUGCAAGCGUUAAUCGGAAUUACUGGGCGUAAAGCGUGCGCAGGCGGUUUGCUAAGACCGAUGUGAAAAUCCCCGGGCUCAACCUGGGAACUGCAUUGGUGACUGGCAGGCUAGAGUAUGGCAGGAGGGGGGUAGAAUUCCACGUGUAGCAGUGAAAUGCGUAGAGAUGUGGAGGAAUACCGAUGGCGAAGGCAGCCCCCUGGGCCAAUACUGACGCUCAUGCACGAAAGCGUGGGGAGCAAACAGGAUUAGAUAACCCUGGUAGUCCACGCCCUAAACGAUGUCAACUAGUUGUUGGGGAUUCAUUUCCUUAGUAACGUAGCUAACGCGUGAAGUUGACCGCCUGGGGAGUACGGUCGCAAGAUUAAAACUUAAAUGAAUUGACGGGGUCAUAGCUGUUUCCU
rnacentral:rRNA from 1 species